rnacentral:rRNA from 1 species
UACGAAGGGAGCUAGCGUUGUUCGGAAUCACUGGGCGUAAAGCGCACGUAGGCGGAUUUGUCAGUCAGGGGUGAAAUCCCGGGGCUCAACCUCGGAACUGCCUUUGAUACAGCAAGUCUUGAGUUCGAGAGAGGUGGGUGGAAUUCCUAGUGUAGAGGUGAAAUUCGUAGAUAUUAGGAAGAACACCGGUGGCGAAGGCGGCCCACUGGCUCGAUACUGACACUGAGGUGCGAAAGCGUGGGGAGCAAACAGG